UACAUCGGAACGUGCCCAAUCGUGGGGGAUAACGCAGCGAAAGCUGUGCUAAUACCGCAUACGAUCUACGGAUGAAAGCAGGGGACCGCAAGGCCUUGCGCGAAUGGAGCGGCCGAUGGCAGAUUAGGUAGUUGGUGAGGUAAAGGCUCACCAAGCCUUCGAUCUGUAGCUGGUCUGAGAGGACGACCAGCCACACUGGGACUGAGACACGGCCCAGACUCCUACGGGAGGCAGCAGUGGGGAAUUUUGGACAAUGGGCGAAAGCCUGAUCCAGCAAUGCCGCGUGCAGGAUGAAGGCCU
rnacentral:rRNA from 1 species